rnacentral:rRNA from 1 species
GACGAACGCUGGCGGCGUGCUUAACACAUGCAAGUCGAACGGAAAGGCCCUGCUUUUGUGGGGUGCUCGAGUGGCGAACGGGUGAGUAACACGUGAGUAACCUGCCCUUGACUUUGGGAUAACUUCAGGAGACUGGGGCUAAUACGGGAUAGGAGCUCGUGGUGCAUGGUGGGGGGUGGAAAGUUUCGGCGGUUGGGGAGGGACUCGCGGCUUAUCAGCUUGUUGGUGGGGUAGUGCCUUACCAAGGCUUUGACGGGUAGCCGGCCUGAGAGGGUGACCGGCCACAUUGGGACUGAGAUACGGCCCAGACUCCUACGGGAGCCACCAGUGGGAAAUAUUCCACAAUGGUCGGAACCCUGAUCCAGCAACCCCUCGUGCGGGAUAACGGCCUUCGGUUUGUAAACCGCUUCCGCCUUUGACGAAGCGUGAGUGACGGUAAUGGGUAAAGAAGCACCGGCUAACUACGUG